rnacentral:rRNA from 1 species
GCGAGCGGCGUGGUUAAGACAUGCAAGUCGAACGAUGAAGCCCAGCUUGCUGGGACGAUUAGUGGCAUACGGGUGCGUAACACGUGAGCAACCUGCCUUGAAGUGGGGGAUAGCCCGGGGAAACCCGGAUUAAUACCGCAUGUGGUCCUUUUCUACCUGGAAAAGUGACUAAAGUUUGUAAUGACGCUUCAAGAGGGGCUCGCGGCCUAUCAGCUUGUUGGUGAGGUAACGGCUCACCAAGGCUAAGACGGGUAGCUGGUCUGAGAGGAUGAUCAGCCACACUGGAACUGAGAUACGGUCCAGACACCUACGGGUGGCAGCAGUUUCGAAUCAUUCACAAUGGGGGAAACCCUGAUGGUGCAACGCCGCGUGGAGGAUGACGGCCUUCGGGUUGUAAACUCCUGUCACCAAGGAACAAACGGCAGGUUCAUAGCCUGUCCUGAGUUAACUUGGAGAGGAAGAGGUGGCUAACUCCGUGCCAGCAGCCGCGGUAAUACGGAGACCUCGAGCGUUACUCGGAUUCACUGGGCGUAAAGAGUAUGUAGGCGGUUUGGUAUGUCAGGUGUGAAAUCCCGGAGCUCAACUCCGGAACUGCGCCUGAAACUACCAAACUUGAGGCCUGGAGAGGAGAGUGGAAUUUCUGGUGUAGCGGUGAAAUGCGUAGAUAUCAGAAGGAACACCAAUGGCGAAGGCAGCUCUCUGGACAGGUUCUGACGCUGAGAUACGAAAGCGUGGGUAGCGAAAGGGAUUAGAUACCCCUGUAGUCCACGCCGUAAACUUUGUACACUAGGUUUCGGGGGGCCUACCCCCUCGGAGCUCAAGCUAACGCGUUAAGUGUACCGCCUGAGGACUACGGNCGCAAGGCUAAAACUCAAAGGAAUUGACGGGGGCCCGCACAAGCGGUGGAGCAUGUGGCUUAAUUCGAUGCAACGCGAAGAACCUUA